rnacentral:rRNA from 1 species
CAGCGCCACGAGUGGCAAUCGUGUAUUUGGCCUAAAGCGUCCGUAGCCGGCGCUGUACAUCCUUUGUGAAAUCGUUGCGCUUAACGUAACGGCGUGCAGGGGACACGGCAGUGCUUGAGACCGGGAGGAGUCAGAGGUAUUCUUGGGGGAGCGGUAAAAUGCUAUAAUCCCAGGAGGACCACCAGUGGCGAAGGCGUCUGACCAGAACGGUUCUGACGGUGAGGGACGAAAGCCAGGGGAGCGAACCGGAUUAGAUACCCGAGUAGUCC